UACGUAGGGGGCAAGCGUUGUCCGGAAUCAUUGGGCGUAAAGAGCGUGUAGGCGGCCCGAUAAGUCCGCUGUGAAAGUCCAGGGCUCAACCCUGGGAUGCCGGUGGAUACUGUCGGGCUCGAGUCCGGAAGAGGAGUGUGGAAUUCCUGGUGUAGCGGUGAAAUGCGCAGAUAUCAGGAGGAACACCAAUGGCGAAGGCAGCUCGCUGGGACGUUACUGACGCUGAGACGCGAAAGCGUGGGGAGCAAACAGG
rnacentral:rRNA from 1 species